rnacentral:snRNA from 1 species
AUAUAUUUCUCGGUCUUUUGGUUAAGAUAAAAUGUAAUAUUUGUUCUUAUCAGUUUAAUAUCUGAUUAAGUGAGUGCCCGUGCGUUGCAACGUGAACAUAUAAUACUAUGAUAACUUACAUAUAAAAUAUGUGUUAUACUAUGCGCGUCCCUCGUUCUCUCUCAACGACAGUACACCCUCGAGAUUCUGGAGCGCGCUGGCAUGACUGCGUGCAAGCCUU